rnacentral:tRNA from 1 species
GGUAGCUCAAUGAGUAGAGUGCUUGCCUUGCAAGCCUGAGGCUGUGAGUUCAAUUCUCAACACCA